rnacentral:rRNA from 1 species
GGCUUAGAGUUUGAUCAUGGCUCAGGAUGAACGCUGGCGGCGUGCUUAACACAUGCAAGUCGAACGAAGCUUGAUCCCGGAUCCCUUCGGGGUGACGGGUGAUAUGACUGAGUGGCGGACGGGUGAGUAACGCGUGGGCAACCUGCCUCAUACAGGGGGAUAACAGUUAGAAAUGACUGCUAAGACCGCAUAAGACCACAGCACCGCAUGGUGGAGUGGUAAAAGCUCCGGUGGUAUGAGAUGGGCCCGCGUCUGAUUAGCUGGUUGGUGAGGUAACGGCUCUACCAAGGCAACGAUCAGUAGCCGGCUUGAGAGAGUGAACGGCCACAUUGGGACUGAGACACGGCCCAAACUCCUACGGGAGGCAGCAGUGGGGAAUAUUGCACAAUGGGGGAAACCCUGAUGCAGCGACGCCGCGUGAGUGAAGAAGUAUUUCGGUAUGUAAAGCUCUAUCAGCAGGGAAGAAAAUGACGGUACCUGACUAAGAAGCCCCGGCUAACUACGUGCCAGCAGCCGCGGUAAUACGUAGGGGGCAAGCGUUAUCCGGAAUUACUGGGUGUAAAGGGUGCGUAGGUGGCAGGGCAAGUCAGAAGUGAAAACCCGGGGCUCAACUCCGGGACUGCUUUUGAAACUGUCCAUCUAGAGUGCAGGAGAGGUAAGCG